rnacentral:rRNA from 1 species
AGGACGAACGCUGGCGGCGUGCUUAACACAUGCAAGUCGAGCGGAAAGGCCCUUCGGGGUACUCGAGCGGCGAACGGGUGAGUAACACGUGAGCAACCUGCCCUUAGCUUCGGGAUAGCUCCGGGAAACCGGAAUUAAAUACCGAAUAUGACUGCGGCUGACAUCAGCCACGGUGGAAAGUUUUUCGGCUAGGGAUGGACUCGCGGCCUAUCAGCUAGUUGGUGAGGUAACGGCCCACCAAGGCGACGACGGGUA